rnacentral:rRNA from 1 species
CCUACGGGAGGCAGCAGUGAGGAAUAUUGGUCAAUGGCCGGAAGGCUGAACCAGCCAUGCCGCGUGAAGGUCAGUGCCCUAUGGGCGUUAAACUUCUUUUGUGCGGGAGCAAUAAUGGUCACGUGUGGCCAGACGAGAGUACCGUACGAAUAAGCAUCGGCUAACUACGUGCCAGCAGCCGCGGUAAUACGGGGGAUGCAAGCGUUAUCCGGAUUUAUUGGGUUUAAAGGGUGCGUAGGCUGUGAGGUAAGUCAGCGGUGAAAUGCCCCCGCUCAACGGGGUGAAGUGCCAUUGAUACUGGCUGGCUGGAAGGCGGAUGAGGUGGGAGGAAUGUGUGGUGUAGCGGUGAAAUGCAUAGAUAUCACACAGAACACCGAUUGCGAAGGCAGCUCACGAGUCCGCGAUUGACGCUGAUGCACGAAAGCGUGGGUAUCAAACAGGAUUAGAGACCCGUGUAGUC